rnacentral:snRNA from 1 species
UGCUUUUUGAUCCUUCGAU